rnacentral:rRNA from 1 species
AUGUCCACUACUCAUGUGCUGUUGUUACCCGACUUUGAUAAGCAGUUCACCAUUGAAACAAAUGCGUGCUCAACUGGUAUUGGAGCUGUUCUUUUGCAACAAGGACAUCCUGUAGCAUUCUACAGUAAAGCACUGGGCAUUAAGAAUCAGCAACUGUCCAUAUAUGAGAAAGAGUUUUUAGCUAUCAUGAUGGCAGUGGAGAAAUGGAGAGCUUACUUGCAAAGAGGACCUUUUAUUAUCAAAACCGAUCAUCAGAGUUUGUGUCAGUUAGGGGAUCAAAUUCUCACAUCUGAUCUUCAACGAAAAGCCAAGACUAAACUGGUGGGACUUCAGUUUCAGUUUCAGUACAAAAAGGGGACUGAAAACACUGUGGCUGAUGCAUUAUCAAGAGUAGGACAUCUGCUUGCGGUGUCUGCAACUUCUCAGAGUCAACCGGUGUGGAUGUAA